UGCACUGGUUGCUGUGCAUGCCAUCUCAUUGCUUUGUUUCGACUUGGCCCCAGGUGAUCUAUCUAUGCUGUUAUCCUCUCUUUUUCCCAUAAGACACCUGUAUAGACUCUUAAGAGUUGAAUUGCAACAUGGAACGAAAUCGAAAUUUGCCUGAAGCUAUAUGAAUAUGCUUUAGCCUUUAAGAUUGUUUUAUUGGCAAUGGACCUUUAUGACUCUUCGAUUGCUUAACGAGUUGUACUUACUGCUACUGCAGUAAGGGGCCCAGGAUACUGAGUUGACAGGGAAAACCACCUUAGAACCUGAGAGCACUUUGAUCCCUGAACUACUGGACAAAGGUCUGAAUGUUUGAAGAAACAUGUCAAAGAAAGAUUUUGGUCACUCUAGGACUCCUCUGAUAUUUCCUAAAGGUACAAUUUAGUGCAUUUUUAGCUUUGAGAAACUAGAAUGGAUGUGUAUUGAUUCUUUUCUCUUUCAUCUCUUUGAGGAACAAGUAAAUACAAAUGUUUAUAUAGACAAAAAGGACACUUUA